UACGUAGGGUGCAAGCGUUAAUCGGAAUUACUGGGCGUAAAGCGUGCGCAGGCGGUUCUCCAAGUCCGUUGUGAAAGCCCCGGGCUCAACCUGGGAAUGGCCGUUGAAACUGGCGAACUGGAGUGUGGCAGAGGGGGGUGGAAUUCCGCGUGUAGCAGUGAAAUGCGUAGAGAUGCGGAGGAACACCGAUGGCGAAGGCAGCCCCCUGGGCUAACACUGACGCUCAGGCACGAAAGCGUGGGGAGCAAACAGG
rnacentral:rRNA from 1 species